rnacentral:tRNA from 1 species
CGGGGUAUGGCCUAAUUGGUAAGGCACCACGUUUGGGACGUGGGGAUUCUGAGUUCGAGUCUCAGUACCCCGA